CGGUUACCUUCAGAGGAAGCUCCGGCUAUCUACAUUGCCAGCAGCCGCGGUAAUACGUAGGGAGCGAGCGUUGUUCGGAUUUACUGGGCGUAAAGGGCACGUAGGCGGGUAUGCAAGUCGGGUUGUGAAAUCCUCUGGCUCAACUAGAGAACUGCAGCCGAAACUGUACACCUUGAGUCCAGCAGAGGGGAUCGGAAUCCCAGGUGUAGCGGUGAAAUGCGUAGAAAUCUGGGAGAACAUCAGUGGCGAAGGCGGAUUCCUGGGCUGGUACUGACGCUGAGGCGCGAAAGCUAAGGGAGCGAACAGGAUUAGAUACCCUGGUAGUCUUAGCCGUAAACGAUGGGUAACUAGGUGUUGGGGGACAUUGACCCCGCUCAGUACCGUAGCUAACGCAUUAAGUACCCCGCCUGGGGAGUACGGCCGCAAGGCUGAAACUCAAAGGAAUUGACGGGGACCCCGCACAAGCAGUGGAGCAUGUUGCAUCAAUUCGAUGCAACGCGAAGAACCGUUACCAGGGC
rnacentral:rRNA from 1 species